rnacentral:rRNA from 1 species
CGGGCACAGCGGGAAGCCAGGUGGUGACACCGAGCAGAACCCGAAAGCCGUUCUCAGUUCGGAUCGGAGUCUGNAACCCGACUCCGUGAAGCUGGAUUCGCUAGUAAUCGCGCAUCAGCCAUGGCGCGGUGAAUACGUUCCCGGGCCUUGUACACACCGCCCGUCAAGCCAUGGAAGCCGGGGGUGCCUGAAGUGUGCAGCCGCAAGGAGCGCCCUAAGGUAAAACCGGUGACUGGGGCUAAGUCGUAACAAGGUAUC